rnacentral:misc_RNA from 1 species
AAAGCUGGUAUCAUCAACCACAUAAAGAUCCCUACUGAGCUGAUCAGUAUGCCAGCUAACUCACAUGAAAUUUCUAUAGUAUCAAAAGUAAAAAAGGAUCCCCACCCAAUCCAGAAUAAUUUUUUCGCGUCCAUGGAUACAUAAAUCUGUUCACUAUCUAUACAAGGGUCAAUGCCCUUGCAAAUGUAACAAAACCAGACGCUAAGCUUUGAAUAAGAAGCAAUUUUGGCAUCAAACUUGCAUGAAA